rnacentral:rRNA from 1 species
AUUGAACGCUGGCGGCAGGCCUAACACAUGCAAGUCGAACGAGUGGCGGACGGGUGAGUAAUGUCUGGGAAACUGCCCGAUGGAGGGGGAUAACUACUGGAAACGGUAGCUAAUACCGCAUACCAUCGGAUGUGCCCAGAUGGGAUUGGCUAGUAGGUGGGGUAACGGCUCACCUAGGCGACGAUCCCUAGCUGGGCUGGGAGGAUGACCAGCCACACUGGAGAUGCGACACGGUCCCGACUCCUAAGGGAGGCAGCAGUGGGGAAGAGUGCACAAUUGGCGCAAGCCUGAUGCAGCCAUGCUGCGUGUAUGAGGAAGGCCUUCGGGUUGUAAAGUACUAUAAGUGAGGAGGCGUUACUCGCAGAAGAAGCACCGGCUAACUCCGUGCCAGCAGCCGCGGUAAUUC